rnacentral:rRNA from 1 species
AAGUAGGGGAUCGCAAGACCUUGCGCUUUUAGAGCGGCCGAUGUCUGAUUAGCUAGUUGGUGAGGUAAAGGCUUACCAAGGCUUCGAUCAGUAGCUGGUCUGAGAGGACGACCAGCCACACUGGGACUGAGACACGGCCCAGACUCCUACGGGAGGCAGCAGUGGGGAAUUUUGGACAAUGGGGGAAACCCUGAUCCAGCCAUGCCGCGUGAGUGAAGAAGGCCUUCGGGUUGUAAAGCUCUUUCAGCCGGAACGAAACGGUCACGGCUAAUACCUGUGAUCACU